rnacentral:rRNA from 1 species
CCGCGUACCAUUAGCUAGUUGGUAGGGUAAUGGCCUACCAAGGCUACGAUGGUUAGCUGGUCUGAGAGGAUGGCCAGCCACACUGGAACUGAGACACGGUCCAGACUCCUACGGAGGCAGCAGUGGGGAACCUUGCGCAAUGGGGGAAACCCUGACGCAGCAACGCCGCGUGGGUGAUGAAGGCCUUCGGGUCGUAAAGCCCUGUCAGGUGGAAAGAAACGUAUCGGUACAAAUAAUAUCGAUGCUUGACGGUACCAUCGAAGGAAGCACCGGCUAACUCCGUGCCAGCAGCCGCGGUAAUACGGAGGGUGCAAGCGUUGUUCGGAAUUAUUGGGCGUAAAGCGCGUGUAGGCGGUCAGGCAAGUCAGAUGUGAAAGCCUUCCGCUUAACGGAAGAAAUGCAUUUGAAACUACCUGGCUGGAGUUCGGGAGAGGAGAGUGGAAUUCCCGGUGUAGAGGUGAAAUUCGUAGAUAUCGGGAGGAACACCGGUGGCGAAGGCGGCUCUCUGGUCCGAUACUGACGCUGAGACGCGAAAGCGUGGGGAGCAAACAGGAUUAGAUACCCUGGUAGUCCACGCCGUAAACGAUGGGCACUAGGUGUAGGAGCUAUUGACCCCUUCUGUGCCGAAGCUAACGCAUUAAGUGCCCCGCCUGGGGAGUACGGCCGCAAGGUUAAAACUUAAAGGAAUUGACGG